GAGACGUGCAAAGGACCGCUUUUUUCUCUCGAAAACCAUUUUGCAGCCUUCUCUUUGCCAUCUCGUGUGGCAAACGACAUGCUGUAGGGAAAGUCCCCGGACACAUCUACAAACUGGAAGAAGACCGAGGCGGGUGCAUUGCUAGACGUUCUUUUCGCAAACCUUUUUUCCUUCGAGACGUGGUAACGUACGGAAUGUUGGCGAUCCUCAUCGUGGACGUUUUAGGUGGUCGUUGUGGAGCUUGGAGAGCAAGGAGGUGAUAGAAGCGAUGGAACCGGGGUCGGAGAAGAUAUACAGCAUGAUCAGAGACCAUACAUGAGGAAAGCGACCGUCGCCGUAAUGGUGCGUUUUUCGAAAAAUGGCCAUCUUGCUCUUCUUCUUCGAUCUCGACUCUGCGUUUCCAUCAGCUGCUGCUCGACCGGCUUCCAGUGACCGCUGUCUGACGGCGUCUACAUCAGAUGGGGGUGGCUCUUUUCGGAGAUCGUCUCGUGUUUCAGGAACUGGGUCGGCAAGAGAGCCGUCGGCAUGUUUUAAUCAGUCUCGCAGUCAGGCUUCGUUGUUCGCAGCUUGUUUGCGGGUUUGAAUUUGCGCAGCAAGGGUACGGAUCUGUUCGUGUGAGGAUGUUGUUGCAGGACCGGAUCACGGGGGUUUGUCUGCCGGGUUGGAGGAGGCUUGCGUUGGAUUGGUGGGGGGUCCUGACCGGUGACGAUGUUUCAGUGAGAGGCAGAGUGGGGAGAUGGGAGGAGAGUCAUGCGAAGACAUGAGCGGCUCGCCUUACACCAAACCAUCUCCAUCCCUUCCCUCUUCACUACGAUUCUCGCAAACCGAAACGAUCCCCUCUCCAUCCUCGCAAACCGUUACCCACUCCUUCCCCUCGCUCACAUACAUCUCGACCGGCUUCGGUUUCCAUCAUCUUCUCCCCAACACAAUCUGGUUCUUCUGCGCGUCUCCAUGCUUUUUUAAGCACCUGCAGACGAAACUCGCGGCAACACAUCCCAUCGCUUCGUGGUUCUCUGCACCAGAUCGAUGAUGCUUCUGACUCCAACCUCUAUAGGGGUUUUGGAGAAGGAUUGGAUCUUGUUAGUCAUUUUUCUAUUGCUGAUAGUUAUGCGGUCGCCCUUUUCGACGGAAAGGGUAACUCAACGGGGCUUACUCUUGCAUCGUCU
rnacentral:RNase_MRP_RNA from 2 species